CACGUAGGGUGCGAGCGUUGUCCGGAAUUAUUGCGCGUAAAGAGCUCGUAGGCGGUGUGUCGCGUCGGCCGUGAAAACCUGCAGCUUAACUGUGGGCGUGCGGUCGAUACGGGCAUCACUGGAGUUCGGCAGGGGAGACUGGAAUUCCUGGUGUAGCGGUGAAAUGCGCAGAUAUCAGGAGGAACACCGGUGGCGAAGGCGGGUCUCUGGGCCGAUACUGACGCUGAGGAGCGAAAGCGUGGGGAGCGAACAGG
rnacentral:rRNA from 1 species